AACAGUAGUCUCGGUCAGAAAAUAAAGGCAGACUGAAGCCCUUGGACAUCAAAGUUAUGAAACUGCUACACGAGAAAGUCAACGUCAUCCCUCUGAUUGCGAAAGCUGACUCCCUCACCCCAGAGGAAUGUCAGCAGUUCAAGAAACAGAUCUUUGACUGGAGACUGUGGAGAGGUUACAUGCAUGCCAGAAAAACUUGAUGUGGCAGAUGAGAUUGAGAUAGAGGAGACAGACAGUGCAGGGACAGGAGGAGGACAGGAGGAGGACAGAGGAGGACAGUAAGCAGGAAGGAAGAAAUCAUGUGGCAUCACAGGCCGUUCACUACAAUCAUUGACACUUCCUUUGAGAAUCCUCCAGUUCAUGAGGAUCAUCCCAUGAGACCCUAUGAAUACUUCAAACAGUAUAUACCAGAUGAGAGCUUCAGUUUGAUGGCCGACAACACAAAUGUUUGUGCCUUGCAAAGUGGUACACUAGGUUUCAAACCAACAAGUUCAGGAGAGAUCAGAACCCUAAUCGGUCUCCACCUUGCAAUGGGAGUGAUAAAAAUGCCAAGAGUCUCCAUGUACUGGGAAGCCGGGAUGGACAUAGGAAUUUUCCAAAACACCGUGCCCCGUGACAGAUUCUUCCAGCUCCGGUCACAUUUGCAUUUGGUCAACAAUUUGGAGAAGCCAGCUGAGAACAAUGAUGUGUUUUUUCAAGGUACGUCCUCUCUAUGAUGCCAUACGCAAUAGAUGCUUGAAACUUCCACUAGAGGAGAACCUUUGCGUGGAUGAACAAAUGGUGCCAUUUCGCAGAACUCUGUCUGUCAAGCAAUUCAUCAAAGGCAGGCCACACCCAUGGGGGGUGAAAAUAUACUUCCUGUGUGGGAAAAGUGGCACGGCCUACGACUUCCUGCUGCACCAAGGCACUAUAAUGGAGCUAUCACAACAGCACAGAAAGCAGCUGGGCCUUGGAGCUGGAGUGGCGUACCAUCUAAGCCAGCGAAUCACUGAGGCCAACCACAAGUUGUAUUUUGACAACUAUUUCACAACGUACAGUCUUCUGGAGCUGCUGGCUGAGAGGAAAAUUCAUGCCACUGGGACAGCAAGGGUCUCUCGCUUUGCCAGGCCUCCUCUACAGUCUGACAAAGAGAUGGCCAAAAAGCCUCGAGGAAGCUGUGAUGAAGUUGUAAGCCGUGAUGGUAAGGUGGCACUGGUCAAAUGGUAUGACAACAGAUCAGUUCUCAUGGCCUCAAACUUUGUUGGUGUUGGCAGAAUGGAUGA